AAUUUGUAUAUAAUUGUUUUGGUAAAAACAUGUUUCCUUUGUAUUACAAGAUCUAAUUUUUGGCCUAACUUAGAAUUAGUCUUUGUAUAGUAUUUUGGUUACAUUUGUAGACUUAAUUGGGACCUAUAUUAGAUUAUCUUUGAUAGGGCUGACGAAAAAACGGACCCAAUAACCAACCUAAUACCCGAACCAAAAAACUGGGUUAGGGCGGGUUAAAAUUUUAGGAAAUUUCCUUAUUGGGUAGAGUUUUAGUAAACCCGUGGAUAUCCGAUUGGUCCGGAAAUUAUCCGUUACCCAAAAAGAGUAUUCAAAAACCCAAACAUUAAUUUAAUAUCCAAAAUAUUAAUUAUAUUUAAUCGUAAUAUUAUCUAAUUAUCUAAUAUUAUAAUUAUAAAUCUAAAUAUGUCAAUUAAUUUUGG
rnacentral:sRNA from 1 species